AUGCCAAUCGUGAUGCUAGCUGAGACGUUGCUUUGCCAACGCAUGGGCGUUGUUGAAGAGGGCGAGUUGAUCACAGAAGCAGCCAUAGACAAGUACGUGUCCCUCUUCCACGGCCAGCUGCCCGACCUGGCUGUUGCGGCGUUGAGAGCCCUGUUCAGGCUUGACUGUGAUCUUGCUACUGCUGUUGAAGAUGCCCUGAUGGACCAUGGUGGAGGAGCCGGGUUGGAGCUCCAAGGCCAAGGUGGAGAAGAUGUGACCGCUGCUUGA
rnacentral:rRNA from 1 species